rnacentral:lncRNA from 1 species
CUUUGGGAAAAGAGAUAAGCUUUAUUCUGUGAGAUGGAUCUGCAGGGAGAACAGGGGGCAUGUGCCCUCAGAUCUGUCUCCCUGAUUCAGGGUUUGGGGCAAAAUAUAAGAGGUUGGGGAGAACAGGCUGGCACGCAGAAAUGUUGGUGGGACAGGUUUUGAUUGGUGGACUUCAAGCAUUUGUGGUAAGGUUCUAAACAGUUAUGACAGGGUUCUAAACAUUUUUGAUGAGGUGGGGAAAGAAUUCUAACACCAGAUCUUCCUGAAUGAGGGGCUCCCUCGCUUCUGAUAAGAGUUCAACCUUCAAGUUCGGGUCGUGUCCUGGUCCUUGGGUUCCAUGGGAAGGAGGAUCUUUGGUUCCACGGUCAUUUCAGUUCUGAUGUUGGCUGGCUUUUCUGAGAAUAAUAAACAUCACCUACCAGUGCUGUUCUGUAGGCUGCCUCCUCUUGUCUUCGUUUGGAAAGAUUCUCAAUAUUGCCAGGGGCAAGAUCACUUCACAGGCACGUAACGUGUGGCCGUGUCUCUCUGGUGAUGUGAGCAGCCGUGGCGAUCGUGGACUGGAUCCACUAAAUCAUUAGGAGCAUGCAGAGUGCGGAUGUUCCACCACUCACUCCGCGUUUACUAGCUGGAAUCCUCCUAGACAAAGAAACUCCUCAUGUUUAACUAUCUGAUUAUGCAAAGGAACAGUUCAUACAGGAAAGGCAGGACAUAUGCUUGAUUUCCUCCUUUUUGUUAACCAGUUUUAAAAAUAAAGGAGUGGGCUCUCCAGAAUCUGCCAAAGCGAU